rnacentral:rRNA from 1 species
GACGAACGCUGGCGGCGUGCUUAACACAUGCAAGUCGAACGGGCCCGCUCUCUUUUUUGGGGGUGGGUUGAGUGGCGAACGGGUGAGUAUCACGUGAGUAACCUGCCCCCUGCUCCUGGAUAACUGCUUGAAAGGGCGGCUAAUACGGGGUGUGCCGGCUGGUCCGCAUGGGCCUGGUCGGGAUAGUUUCAUCUUCGGGUGUUUCGGGGGGGGAUGGGCUCGCGGCCUAUCAGCUUGUUGGAGGGGGGAUGGCCCACCAAGGCGGUGACGGGGAGCCGGCCUGGGAGGUUGGGCGGCCACGCUGGGACUGAGGCACGGCCCAGCCUCCUGCGGGCGGCGGCGGUGGGGGGUAUUGCACGAUGGGCGGAAGCCGGAGGCAGCGGCGUCGCGUGAGGGAUGGAGGCCUUCGGGUUGUGAACCUCUUUCUCCGGUGGUGAAGGCCCUGUCCGUUGCGGCGGGGUUGACGGUAGCCGGGUAUGAAGCGCCGGCUAACUACGUG